AAAUUGAAGAGUUUGAUCAUGGCUCAGAUUGAACGCUGGCGGCAGGCCUAACACAUGCAAGUCGAACGGUAACAGGAAGCAGCUUGCUGCUUUGCUGACGAGUGGCGGA
rnacentral:rRNA from 4 species